CUGACCAAGAAGGGAAUAAUAUUUCCAGUUCUUCUGGUCAUCGGGUCCGUCUUACAGAAGGUCAGGGGUCAGAGAUACAACCAGGUGAUUUGGAUCCUUUGUCAAGGGGUCAUGAAACAUCAGGCAAGGGUUUGGAGAAGACUUCCCUUAAUAUAAAACGAGACUUUCUUGGUUUCAUGGAUACUGAUUCAGCACUUAGUGAAGUUCCUCAAUUGAAGCAAGAGAUUUCUGAAUGGUAUUCUUUUGCCUAAUUUAUUUGGAUAGAAGAGACUUCUCAGAAGAAUGAAACUUAACUGUUUGUGAAAUUUUUUCCCCAAGGCAAGAUUUCAUUCAUCAUGUAUAAAGUUUUUGUUGGAAAAUAGAAGAAAUCCUUUCUGAGAGUGUUUAUAACUUACCAAGUUCAAUUUCUCAGGAAGAUGUGAAAGCAGUUAUUGCAGUAGCAGCCCAGAUCUAGCCUCAGAGGUUUCCCAGCUACUGCGAACAAAUGCAUGUUGUGUGCUAAAUGAAAAGAAGAUAAAAAAUUUUUUUCUAC
rnacentral:lncRNA from 1 species